rnacentral:rRNA from 1 species
AUACGUAGGGGGCGAGCGUUGUCCGGAAUUACUGGGCGUAAAGGGCGUGUAGGCGGACUAUCAAGUCUUCUGUGAAAUACCGGGGCUCAACUCCGGGGGUGCAGGGGAAACUGGUAGUCUUGAGUGCAGGAGAGGAAAGCGGAAUUCCCAGUGUAGCGGUGAAAUGCGUAGAUAUUGGGAAGAACACCAGUGGCGAAGGCGGCUUUCUGGCCUGUAACUGACGCUGAGGCGCGAAAGCUAGGGGAGCAAACAGGAUUAGAUACCCUGGUAGUCCUAGCCGUAAACGAUGGGUACUAGGUGUAGGGGGUUUUAGACGCCCUCUGUGCCGCAGUUAACGCAGUAAGUACCCCGCCUGGGGAGUACGGCCGCAAGGCUGAA